rnacentral:tRNA from 1 species
GGUGUUAUGGCUCAGUGGUAGAGUGCUUGCCUCGCUUGCAAGGCCCUGGGUUCAAUCCUCAGCACCA